rnacentral:misc_RNA from 1 species
CAAUUGUUAAUUCUGGAAAAUCUGACAUUGAAAACAAUGAUUCAGCACACAUUGGUUGCAAAAAUGAGUUCAAGAGGCGCGGGUGGAAGGGCUUCAACUGCUGGUCGUAGUAAUAAUGCAUCAUCCAGAGGGAAAAAUGCAACAGAAGUCUCUAGCCCUAAGGUUGAGCAGUUGGGUCAAGGUGUAGUAGACAUUAGUUUGGAUGAUGCACAAGAUGAUGGGGAAUGGGAGAUAGAUAAUAUCACGGAAGUCUAAGAACAGAGCUGGAAGCAGUGCUGCAAAACCCUGGGGUUUUCAAAAUUCUAAUCCCAAAGCAUGGGGACACCCCGAUGUGAUAAAUAAGCAAGGCAUGCGAAAUAAUUUUGGAUCAGGAAGGAUGUCUGCAAAUGCAUGGUCAACUCAAGUUUUGGAUUCUAAGAGGCUAACUAACAGAGGAAAUACCGGGCCACAAUCAUCCAACAGGGGCUCAGAGAACAACUACGUGGCUCCACAAUCUGUGAUUCCCCCACCACUGGAGCAUGGAUGGAAUUGGCAAUCUAGAGUUGCUGCUACUGCUCCUAAUAUUUCAGAAGAUGGUGAAAAAAAAUAUGAAGAUACUGAAGUUAACAAGGAAAGUGAUGUUGAUUGUGAAGAUGAUGAGGAAGAAGAUGCCAUGGAUGAUACAGAUGAUGAGCUUCUUAGUGAAGA